GACGAACGCUGGCGGCGUGCUUAACACAUGCAAGUCGAGCGGUAAGGCCCUUUCGGGGGUACACGAGCGGCGAACGGGUGAGUAACACGUGGGUGACCUGCCCUCAGCUCUGGGAUAAGCCUGGGAAACUGGGUCUAAUACCGGAUAUGACUCCAUGACGCAUGUUGUGGGGUGGAAAGCCUUGUGCGGCUGAGGAUGGGCCCGCGGCCUAUCAGCUUGUUGGUGGGGGAUGGCCUACCAAGGCGACGACGGGUAGCCGGCCUGAGAGGGCGACCGGCCACACUGGGACUGAGACACGGCCCAGACUCCUACGGGAGGCAGCAGUGGGGAAUAUUGGACAAUGGGCGAAAGCCUGAUCCAGCCAUGCCGCGUGAGUGACGAAGGCCUUAGGGUUGUAAAGCUCUUUUUGGCGGGGAAGAUAAUGACGGUACCCGCAGAAUAAGCUCCGGCUAACUUCGU
rnacentral:rRNA from 1 species